rnacentral:rRNA from 1 species
ACAGGCUUAACACAUGCAAGUCGAGGGGUAGCAGGGUAGCAAUACCGCUGACGACCGGCGCACGGGUGAGUAACACGUAUCCAACCUUCCCAUAACUCGGGGAUAGCCUUUCGAAAGAAAGAUUAAUACCCGAUAGUACUUUUUCAAGGCAUCUUGAGAAAGUUAAAGAUUUAUUGGUUAUGGAUGGGGAUGCGUUCCAUUAGAUAGUUGGUGAGGUAACGGCUCACCAAGUCUUCGAUGGAUAGGGGUUCUGAGAGGAAGGUCCCCCACAUUGGUACUGAGACACGGACCAAACUCCUACGGGAGGCAGCAGUGAGGAAUAUUGGUCAAUGGGCGAGAGCCUGAACCAGCCAAGUAGCGUGAAGGAUGACGG